rnacentral:ncRNA from 2 species
UACUUAUGAAGAGAGGCGGAGGGACUGGCCCUAUGAAGCCCGGCAGCGGAUCUGCGCGCUUGCGCGUUGCAGAUGCUGUGCCAAUUCCAGCAGGAUAAUUCCUGACAGAUAAGGA